rnacentral:lncRNA from 1 species
GGGAUUUUCGUCGAUUCACUAGAAAGCGGGUCAAAUUUUAACUACAGCUGCCUCAUAGUUUGUUCAAAUGAUCUAAUAUUAUGCACAAGGGUGCAUCUUGGAAUGGUAAACAAUGUUGUCUAAGGAAGUUUUCAUUUUUUUGCAUGGAAAAUUCAUUUUCCAUUUUCCGAGUGCCCGAAACGAGGCUUUUUUGGGAAGGACCUACCAUAUAUUUGUUGCAAAAUUGGACCAAAUCAAUUUUAGAAACGAGGCUUUUUUGGGAAGGACCUACCAUAUAUUUGUUGCAAAAUUGGACCAAAUCAAUUUUAUAAAAU